GACAGAGGGUGCAAACGUUGUUCGGAAUUACUGGGCGUAAAGCGCAUGUAGGCGGCAACGCAAGUCGGGCGUGAAAUCCCACUGCUCAACCGUGGAAGUGCACUCGAAACUGCGUAGCUAGAGUCCUGGAGAGGAAGGUGGAAUGCUUGGUGUAGAGGUGAAAUUCGUAGAUAUCAAGCGGAACACCGGUGGCGAAGGCGGCCUUCUGGACAGUGACUGACGCUGAGAUGCGAAAGCGUGGGGAGCAAACAGG
rnacentral:rRNA from 1 species